rnacentral:rRNA from 1 species
GACGAACGCUGGCGGCGUGCUUAACACAUGCAAGUCGAACGGAAAGGCCCUGCUUUUGUGGGGUGCUCGAGCGGCGAACGGGUGAGUAACACGUGAGUAACCUGCCCUUGACUUUGGGAUAACUUCAGGAAACUGGGGCUAAUACCGGAUAGGAGCUCCUGCUGCAUGGUGGGGGUUGGAAAGUUUCGGCGGUUGGGGAUGGACUCGCGGCUUAUCGGCUUGUUGGUGGGGUAGUGGCUUACCAAGGCUUUGACGGGUAGCCGGCCUGAGAGGGUGACCGGCCACAUUGGGACUGAGAUACGGCCCAGACUCCUACGGGAGGCAGCAGUGGGGAAUAUUGCACAAUGGGCGGAAGCCUGAUGCAGCAACGCCGCGUGCGGGAUGACGGCCUUCGGGUUGUAAACCGCUUUCGCCUGUGACGAAGCGUGAGUGACGGUAAUGGGUAAAGAAGCACCGGCUAACUACGUG